GACGAACGCUGGCGGCGUGCCUAAUACAUGCAAGUCGAGCGAGUCAAUAGGAGCUUGCUCCUGUUGGUUAGCGGCGGACGGGUGAGUAACACGUGGGCAACCUGCCUGUAAGACUGGGAUAACUUCGGGAAACCGGAGCUAAUACCGGAUAAUCCUUUUCCACUCAUGUGGGAAAGCUGAAAGUCGGUUUCGGCUGACACUUACAGAUGGGCACGCGGCGCAUUAGCUAGUUGGCGAGGUAACGGCUCACCAAGGCGACGAUGCGUAGCCGACCUGAGAGGGUGAGCGGCCACACGGGGACUGAGACACGGCCCAGACUCCUACGGGAGGCAGCAGUAGGGAAUCUUCCGAAAUGGACGAAAGUCUGACGGAGCAACGCCGCGUGAGCGAUGAAGGCCUUCGGGUCGUAAAGCUCUGUUGUUAGGGAAGAAUAAGUAUCGGAGUAACUGCCGGUACCUUGACGGUACCUAACCAGAAAGCCACGGCUAACUACGUGCCAGCCGCCGCCGUAA
rnacentral:rRNA from 1 species